rnacentral:snoRNA from 1 species
AAGAUCAUACUUCAAGGGAUCAUUUCUGAAGUAAACUUAACGGAUUCGUGACCGAAUCUGUAAGCAACACCGACCACGAUGACGAGGUGUGGAGUUUCCUUCUGAGCGCGAAGCGGGUCGGCUGACUGUCUUUUUGGCAGAUGGCCGGCCAUUGAUGACCGUUCCCGCUUCCUCUCAGGAAGUCGGGAGGGAGGAAACUCGUUCUGAGUGGU